CCCUUAGAUGUUCUGGGCCGCACGCGCGCUACAAUGGCAGACUCAGCGAGUUACCUCUGUCGAAAGGCACAGGGAAUCUUUACAGUAUCUGCCGUGAUGGGGAUAGACCCUUGUAAUUUUUGGUCUUCAACGAGGAAUUCCUAGUAAACGCAAGUCAUUAACUUGCAUUGAUUACGUCCCUGCCCUUUGUACACACCGCCCGUCGCACCUACCGAUUGAAUGGUCCGGUGAAGUCCUCGGACCCAGUUGAACCUCGAGUUGAACAGGGAAAGUUGACUAAAUCUUACCAUUUAGAGGAAGGAGAAGUCGUAACA
rnacentral:rRNA from 1 species